AAAAACAGGAAGGAUCAUGUAGACAUCAUUUGGAGUUAAAGAUCAUUUUAAAUUCCUUCUCAGCGUCUUUAUUUAAAUUCUUAGCCUGACUUUAAUAAAGUUAAUAAUUUUUUCGUUUCUGUGACAUCCUAAUGUGUUGAAGCCUGAUGAUAAACGCUGACAGCUCUGUGAGUGUGGUUGGUCACUUACGCCUGUAUUUCCUAUAUUUUAUGCAUCAAAAACUUUUCCCGGCUUCUCUGCUCUCUCUGUUCCUCCUGAUGAACGCAAAACUGAAUUUAACAACCAAAAUCAUAUUUUUUUAUUCUUUCUCCUAAAACACCCGGUAAACGUUACUUUCAAACUGAACAAAAUUAAUUUGUUAAUGUUUUUUGUCUUUAGCAAAAUUUUGUGUGAGUCACAGCAACCUGCAGUGUGUUUUCAUGAUAAUGAAGAAUCAACAUCACCUCUUCAUAACACCAGCUACAUAUACUCAGAAGCACAAGACACUUCUCUUUUGGCUAAUAAUAGUGUUCAUGCUGUGAGAACAUGUUUGCUUUGAGCUUUGUGGUGAAGCGCGUCAGUGUGGAAAAAAAUGGCAACAUUGUGGUCGUUUACUUUUCUUGUUCUCAGAGGCACCUCGCUGUUCUGUGUGAUCGUUGGCAAAAGCUGCAUAAAAGUAAUUAAUAUCACAGCACUGUUGCAGUUGUAACUGCAAUAAUUAAAUGUAUUUUAUUCUGCAGAGAGUGAAGCAGCUGCAGUUGAUUCAUCUGUGAGAACUGAAUAUGUCAGUUAUUUACCAAACACCAUCAGAACAUGGUCCAGACUUUAAACCAGAGCCAGAUGUCGUCUACUCUUCACUGAAGUAGUCCACCAGUCCAACCACUGAUGUCCAGCUGCUGGCCUCUAACUGGUCCCCCCAGCACCUCAGACCAGAGGACAUCCACAUGCUAACAAGACUUCUGUGGGUUUCACAAAGGGAAAACUGGACUUCUGGUUUGGUUCUGGCCUAACAACACACACGUUUCUUAACUGAAGAAAACAAAGAAUAAAGACUAAACCACAACCUCAGCCUAAAAACAACCGGAGCAUCAACCAGUGUCUUUAAAUCUUCAUUUAUUUGUGUUUGAGACGGAAGAGUUUUGCCUCUUUGUUUCCUCAGUCAGCUAGAAACCAACCAGCAGCCACUAGCAUGGUGAAAAAGUUUUAUAACUGUUUCACUUAUUUAUUUGUAUCACUUUCACCUCUUCUUAAAGUCAAUAAAGAGGUUUUGUUUUUUUUUCUACUGA